AGAACUAUGGUUUCAAAAAGCAUCAGUACAUUGUGGAUGACAAAGGAGUUCUACGGAAGCUGAGAAUUCACCCUUUACAAGAACAAGAUGAGCAAAUUCCCAGUUUGCUGACCUGGAAUUCUUUUCAACGUUUGUCAUGAGACUACAAGGUAAUUGACUCUACUAGGGAGCUCGUAAAUAAACAGCGUGUUUGUGUAAGAAUCCUGGGAACUAACUUCUAAAGAUACAGACUCUGACCUUCAGUCAUCUCAGCUCUGGGAGACUUGCUGACGUGCACACAAUGGAGCCAGAAGGACGGAAAGCCAAGAUAACCUAAAGCCGAGGCGACUAAACCACGAUGACUCACACCGAACCGUCACUUGCCUCAUCGGAGUGAACUGUGCUCAUCUGCCUGUACAGAACUUUUCAACCUCCUUCCUCGAUCUUUGAUCUGCUUUCCUUCUCCCUCCUUAUCAGAACCUCUGCCUGCACUGAGAUGUUAAGAUAGGCUUUGCGACAAGGGUCCCCUAUCUUAAGAUUGUUGGCAUCUGAAUAAAGUACU